rnacentral:rRNA from 1 species
AUUGAACGCUGGCGGCAGGCCUAACACAUGCAAGUCGAACGUAGUGGCGAACGGGUGAGUAAUGUAUCGGAACGUGCCCAGUAGCGGGGGAUCACUACGCGACAGCGUAGCUAAUACCGCAUACUAUUUGAGCGGCCGAUAUCGGAUUAGCUAGUUGGGGGGGUAACGGCUCACCAAGGCGACGAUCCUGAGCUGGUUUGAGAGGACGACCAGCCAAACUGGGACUGAGACACGGCCCAGACUCCUACGGGAGGCAGCAGUGGUGAAUUUUGGACAAUGGGGGAAACCCUGAUCCAGCCAUCCCGCGUGGGCGAUGAAGGCCUUCGGGUUGUAAAGCACUUUUGGCAGGAAAGCGGUACCUGCAGAAUAAGCACCGGCUAACUACGUGCCAGCAGCCGCGGUAAUUC